CAGCAUAUUGCAUCUUGCCAGAAAAGGCAUCAAUUCCAUUUCAGAAAAAGAUAUUGAUAGAGUUAUAAAAAUCUAGUUGUCCCAAAGGUUCUAGACAGGCAUGAAAGAGAAUAGAAACGAUACGCACUUAGAUACAAAUGAUAGCGCACCAUGGACAGCACAAAGCUUUAAUCUGACAUCCAUCGUCUCUCAAACCCACCACCACCGGCAGCGCCAACAAGUAUGCAAGUACUGUAGAAGACUUGUUGCAGCAGCAGCAGCAGCAACAACAGCAGUGAAGGGGCUACAGUACACGUACAAGGAGCAUCUAACGUCACCAUUCGAGAGCAGCGACCGAAGACAUUAUGAUUUCCUGAAUAUGUUGUACAACCUGCGGAAAGAGGAAAUGAAAUGAAGUGUAUAAAUAUGUCGAAAAAUGAACCACGCAAGGGCUGUUAUGUCUGUCAGGGAUUGAUCUUAUGCCUUCAGAUCUGGAGUAAUACAUUUUGGCCUUCAUAAAUGGUUCUUGGCCUUCAUAAAUGGUUCAAGAGAUGAUCAUCACGGGUUAUCUAUCAAAAAUCAACACACAAAAAAACAGUCAUGAAAUCUGCUAGCACACAACAGAGAGUCCAAGGGAUGUAUUAGGUAGGGCAGAGGCAGCGAUAACAGUACACGUGAGCAAGGCAAAUGGGAGCAGAGAAGCAGAGCAGGCAUGCAGCAUAUCCUCCACGUAGGAUUUUAGAGUAUGACCAUGCAAAAGAGUUCGAUUCAGAUGAAAUUCCGAGAAUUCUGAAUCACAACAUGGCCCUCAGAUUUCAGUUUCAUCAUAGGCUAAUGCAGUGGGCUUCAAAGCUGGCACUGGGGCAUGUCUGGGUGAACCGAAGAGGAGGCAAGGCGAUGGCGGCGACGGGGACGCCUGUAGCAAGAGCAGGCCCAUCACUCAGUGGUAGGGCUUCCGCAGAAGCAACGGCUGAUAAGACUUGGACGCUGUAUUUCCGUUAUGUUAAGUAAUGGAAAGGGGUUAUGCCCGGUUCAAAAAAAAAGAAGCAACGGCUGAUCCACAGACACAUGCCUCAGCGCCCAGAGCAGAGAAGCCAGCGCUGCAUCACCAUUUCAGGUCUUCAACCUUGCGAAUGCAACGGCUGAUCCCGUUUCGAGCUCAAACCUAAGCCAAUCUAUCUAUCUAGGGCUUUCAACCUAAUCAUCACUGGGCCAAGGGAAAAUCCAUGCAGCAAGCGAAAAUAUAGUAAUGGACCAAAGAAACUAGGAAAUUAAAUCCGAACCGGGCUUGAUCAAAACAAAUAAUCAAACCACCAGAAAACCAAAUAAUUGAAAAGGAAAAUAGCCGUAGGAGACUUCUUGUGCCACCAGCAGCAGCAGGAGGAACGAAGGGGCCACAGAAGGACCAUCACAUCAACAUUCAUUCAAAAGCAGCAAACAGAAAGAUCAUGAUCCCAUACUGUAGAGCCUGAGGAAAGAGGAAAUGAAAUGAAGAGUACAAAUGUACCGAAAAAUGAACCGCGCAAGGGUUGUGGCAUCUGUCAGGUAGUAGUUAUCUUAUGCCUUCAGAUCUAGUAAUACAUUUGGCCUUGCAAAAUGGUUCAAGAGAUGGUCAUCACGGUUAUCAAAAAUCAACAACAGUUGUCAAGAAAUCUGCUAGCUCACAAAAGAGAGUCAAAGGGAUGUAUCAGAUAGGGCAGAGGCGGCGAUAACAGAGAUGGGGAAGGGAUGUUAGUGACCUCGUGUCGUCAAUCAAUCAUCAAGGCAAACAGAAGCAGAGCAGGCAUGCACCGUCUCCUCUACCUAGGGAGGUUCCGGUGCACCAUUGCGCAUUAAACGAUAAUACAACACGAUAAAGACAAGGUGCGUAUACUGAUGGUUUGAUAGCACGCCCACAGGAAGAUCGCCCUCAGAUAUCAAAAGAGUGUCCCAAAUGGAUCGGCAGAAAACCUGAAUAGUACUCCCUCCGUCCCGUAAUAAAAGAGCGUUUUUGACACUACACUAGUGUCAAAAACGCUCUUAUAUUACGGGACGGAGGGAGUACAACCAUUGCAAUGACAACCACAACAGAAGCAACAACAAGCAGAAAGAAAGAAAGAGUGGAAGCAGAGAGAUGGCCCUUCCACAUGAACAGCAGGCCCAUCUCAGUUUUCACCUGAUUCCCACUUUCCAAGAGCAUGCUUCAGCGCCCAGAACAGAAAAAGCCAACGCUGCAUUAGCCAUUCCAAGAGCAAGGCGCAGCCGCAUUUAAGCACAACCAUGUCAGUCUUCUAUUAAUCAUCAUGGGGCCAAUGGUAAAUCCGAGCAACAAUUGUAAAUAUACUGACAAUACAGUGCAAAAACAAACAGACCAGCAAAGCCCAUCUGUACCUAGAUCAGAUAAAAGAAAUGGAAACAACACCAAUAUUGGUGUGUGGGCUUGGCGGUAGGACAGGAAGGAGAAAUUUGAAGCAGAACUCAUAAACAUACCAAUUUGAAUCACUAAUAAACACUGCAGAGAGAAACCAGCAACACUUAAGCCACUUCAAAAUCUUCACCCUAGUAAAGGGACUACCACUUGGAGACCGGAACUCAAUUCCAAGCUGAUUUACAACAGUGAUCUCUCCUGAUAAAUCAUCAAACUACGAAGAUUUUCUUUCGCUGAGGCGAAAAGCAAAACCAUGAACUGAAAAGGUACUAGAAAUGUAUGAAGAAAUCAACAGAGCACACUUGAUCAUAUCAGACAAAACCACAGCAAAUGCACAAAAUAAUGUAAAAUCUAAACAUAGGAGACAACAAUGCCAAUUACGGGUCCCCAUCAAGCCAACGGAGACGGAUCUGGAAGAUGAAGCUGAAAAUAAAUAAAACAAUCAAAACUUAGCUGGCAAUUUGUAUAAGGUAUGAGAAAGAAACAUAAUGCCCUCAGGUGCCAUAGAUGUAGGAUGUAAUGUUCACUGAUGGCACAAGAAAUGAUCUUCCUUUUGUCCAUAAGGCCAUGUGAAAGGUUGAUCUGCUGUGAACUGCUGUUGCUGCUGUUGUUGUUGUUGCUGCUGCUGCUGCAUGCGUGAUUACGCAUCCAGAGAGAGAAAGAGAGAGCGAGCGAGAGAGAGAGAGACGGGUGCGGGGUGGGGGGAGGAGAGGAUCAUGUAAGUGCCAUCUCUACAUUUUCAGUUUUCAUCAUUGGGCAAUGCAUUAUAGAAGCCAAUAUUUCAAUGGAAAAAUGGCCUUGUAUAAAUGGAAAAAUGAAAACUGGAGUUACACCUUGUAAAAAUGGAUGGACGGAGUAUAAAAUAUGCUCGGUCGCAAAAUCUGUACCAAAAGUAUGCCAUAUUUACUAUGAAAGAGCCAAUCUGCAUCUGAGAAUGGCAAAUGAGCAGUUUUUUAUGACACGUGACACAAAAUAACGUAAAAGAAACAAAAUCAAGAAUAAAAAUGUACAAAAAUGAUCAUUGGAUGAACUGGUAACAUCUGUCAAGAGUGUGAUACUAUGCCUUCAUAUCUAACAAAUCAGGUAUGGGUGUGGGUGUUUCAGUGAUAUCGAUUAAUUAUCUUACCCAUACACUAGCCAAGAUAUUGGCGAAGACAGCGCAUACAUGCCCGGAUGGACUGCUCCACCUAUUGCGAGGUGGCAUUCCACCAUUGCGCAUACAUGUGAAAGCUGGCUGUUUGACAAUGAGCCUGUGCAAAAAGUUCAAUUCAGAUGAAAAUACCGAGAAUUCUGUAUUACAACAUGGCCCUCAGAUUUCAGUUUCAUCAUAGGCUAAUGCAGCGGGCUCCAAAGCUGGCACUGGGGCAUGUCUGGGUGGGCAGAUAGAGGACACAAGACGAUCAUGGCGACGACGAUGGUGUCGGCGACGAGGACGGCGGUGUCACCAGAGUGACACAUUAGCCGGAAGGAAGGGAAGGAAGGAGAGAUAGACCAGGAGUAUGGGCCGGCCCAUCAGUCAGUGGCAAAGCUUCAGCUGAAGCAACAGCUGACCCAAGACACAUGCCUCAGCGCCUAGAACAGACAAGACAGUGCUGCAUAAGACAUUUCAGGGGCCUCAACUUUGAGGAUGCAAAGGCUGGCCCUGUUUGGAUGGGGGUUCCAUCAUAAUCAUCAUUGGGCCAAGUGCAAAUCCAAGUAACAAGCAAAAAUAUAGCAGUAAAAAUGUACUACAAAAUAAACCAAGAAAACAAAAGUAUGCCAAGAUCGAUCAGAUCAAAUAGGCAAACAACAACAGAAAAGAUACUAGAAACAUAACAAACAAAAUAACAGAACAAACCUGACAAUGACCAGAUGAAACGAGCAAAUUCACAAAACUGAAGAAGUCAAAUGGCAAUAGUGCAAAAUCUGAACAUAAGAGACAGGAAUGCAAAUGAAGGGUUUCCAUCAAGCAAUAUAUACAAAUCUGGAAGAUGAAACCAAAAAUAAAUUUAUCAAACCAAGGUUUACUGGUAAUUUGUGUAAGAUGGCAAAAAUAAAGCCUGUGAAUUGAGUUGUUCAUAUAUGUAGCAAUCACUGAUGGCACAAGGGUAGAUCUGCUGUCAACACACGCACGCGGGCACUCGGGGAGAGCCAUGUCUCUUCAUAUUAGUUUUCAUCAUUGGGCAAUACUUCUAACCACCAUCUAAAAGACCAAACUUGGUGUAUAGAACCGGCAUCAGGACUUCAUGGAGAAUUUUAAAACACAAAUCAUAACCAAAAUACUAAUUUAAAACCACUAAUAAACAUUACAGAAUGAAACCAACAAUGUUUUGGCCACUUCAAAACCUUCACCCUGGUAAAGGGCUACAACUUCAAGAUUGGAACUCAAAUGCAAGCUGAUUUACAACAGUAAUCCCUCAUGAUAAAUCAUGAAACACCAAAGAUUUUCCUCUGCUGAGGUGAAAAGCAAAACAAGCUAAGAAGGUACUACAAAAGUAAUGAAAAAUAAAAGAGCAAACUUGAUCAUAAUCAGAAUCAGAAUCAGAUGAAACCAGCAAAUGCACAAAAUUGAUGAAGCAAAGCAAAUGCAAAAUAUGAACAUAAGAGACAGCGAUACUAGUGAAGGGUCCCCAUCAAACCAACACAGAUGGAUCUGGAAAGAUGAAACUGAAAAUAAAUAUAUCCAUGCAAAAAUUUCCGGUAAUUAGUACGGUAUGAAAAAGAAACAUCAUGCCCUCAGGUGCCAUAGAUGUAGCAUUCAUUGAUGGCACAAAAUAUGAUCUCCAUAAGGCAUGUGAAAGAUUAAACUGGUAUGAACUGCUGCUGCUGCUGCAUGCGUCAUUACGCAUCCAUGCACAGAGAGAGAGACAGAGAGAGACAGAAAGAGAGAGGAAGAGGAGGACAGGGAGGAGAGGAUCAUGUCCAAGUGCCAUCUCUACAUUUUCUGUUUUCACCAUUGGGCAAUCCAUUAUAGAAGCCAACACUUCUAUUAUUCAAUCCAACAUCCAGAACAAAAUUAAUCAUCACGAUUCUGUCAAAAUAGAAAUUAAGUGAAAGCCACGGGCCCACAAUCGGGAUAUUAAUUGGGUCAAGGUGUAAAUGAAGUUCCGCAAAGAGAAAUAGUAAAAAACACAAACCGAUAAGAAAGCAGAAAGAAAAUCAGGAAACAUAGACAAGACAUUAGGUCAUUAAAUGCAGAUGUCGCGUUUACUACAGAAGAACCAACCUGCAUCUGAGAAUGCCAAAUGGAAUAUUUGGCAGUGAGCACAUGCAAAAGAGUUUGAUUCCAUUGAAAAUACCAACAAGGUUGUAUUACAAUAUGACCCUCAGAUUUCAGUUUCAUCACAGGCUAAUGCAGCCGGCUUCAAAGCUGGCACUGGGGCAUGCCUUGGUUCACCGGUAAGAAGAAGGAGAAGAAGAAGAAGAAGAAGAAGACAUUUUGCCAUGGCGCAGAGUCAGUGCCAAAGCUUCAGCAGAAGCAACGGUUGAUGCCAGCAGAAGCAACGGUUGACCCAAGACACAUGCCUCAGCGCCCAGAACAGAGAAGACAGCGCUGCAUUAGCCAUUUUCUGGGGCUUCAACUUUGCGAAUGCAACAGCUGGCCCUGUUUGGAGCUAAAAUCUAAGCCGAUCCGCCAUGCAUGCAUGAGGACCAUCGUAAUCCUCAUUGGGCCAAGGGCAAAUCCAAGUAACACGCAAAAUAUACAGCAGUAAAAAUGUACCACCAAAUAAACCAAGAAAACAAAACUAUAUCAAGAUCGAUAAUCAAAUAGCCAAAGCGAAGGCAAGCAAACACAAUAAGGGCAUGAACACAUGUAUAAUUGCUGUCAGUGCACGCAUGGGCACGUGCACACACACACACACACACACACACACACACACACACACUCAGAGAGAGACGGGGGGAAGGAGGGACCAUGUAAUGUGCCAUCUCUAUAGAAGGCAUUACUAAUUGGUGUAUACAACCAGUAUCAGACUUCAUGGACAAUUUUGAAGCACAAAUCAUAACCAAAAUACUAACUUAAAACCACUAAUAAACAUUAGACAGAAACCAACAAUGCUUUGACCAUUUCAAAACCUUCACCCUGGUAAAGGGCUACCACUUCAAGAUUGGAACUCAAAUGCAAGCUGAUUUACAACAGUGAUCACUCAUGAUAAAUCAUGAAACACCAAAGAUUUUCCUCCGCUGAGGUGAAAAGCAAAACAAGCUAAGAAGGUACUACAAAGUAAUGAAAAAUCAACAGAGAAAACAUAAUCAUAAUCAGAUGAAACCACAGCAAAUGCACAAAAAUGAUGAAACAAAGCAAAAAUGAUGCAAAAACUGAACAUAAGACAGCAAUACUAGUGAAGGGUCCCCAUCAAGCCAACACAGACGGAUCUGGAAAGAUGAAACUGAAAAUAAAUAUAUCCAUGCAAAAUUUUCCGGUAAUUAGUAAGGUAUGAAAAAGAAACAUCAUGCCCUCAGGUGCCAUAGAUGUAGCAUUCAUUGGUGGCACAAGAUAUGAUCUCCCAUACGUCCAUAAGGCAGGUGAAAGAUUAAACUGGUAUGAACUACUGCUGCUGCUGCUGCAUGUGCCAUUACGCAUCCAUGCAGAGAGAGAGAGAGAGAGAGAGAGAGAGAGAGAGAGAGAGGAGGAGGAGGAGGACAGGGAGGGGAUGAUCAUGUCCAAGUGCCAUCUCUACAUUUUCUGUUCUCAUCAUUGGGCAAUACAUUAUGUCCAUUAUAGAAGCCAACACUUCUAUUAUUCAAUCCACCAUCCAGAACAAAAUUAAUCUUCCCGAUUUUGUCAAAAUAAAAAUUAAGUGCAAGCCACGUCCCACGAUCGGGAUAUUAAUUGUGUCAAGGUGUAAAUGAGGUUUCACAAAGAGACAUAGUAAAAACACAAACAGAUAAGAAAGCAAAAAGAAAAUCAAGAAACAUAGACAAGACAUUUGGUCAUUAAAUGCUGAAGGCGCGUUUACUACAGAAGAACCAACCUGCAUCUGAGAAUGACAAAUGGAAAGUUUGGCAGUGAGCAGUGAGCACAUGCAAAAGAGUUCGAUUCCAUUGAAAAUACCAACAAGGUUGUCUUACAAUAUGACCCUCAGAUUUCAGUUUCAUCACAGGCUAAUGCAGCCGGCUUCAAAGCUGGCACUGGGGCAUGCCUUGGUUCACCAGUAAGAAGAAGAAGAAGAAGAAGACCUUUUGCCAUGGCCCAGAGUCAGUACCAAAGCUUCAGCAGAAGCAAUGGUUGAAGUCAGCAGAAGCAACGGUUGACCCAAGACACAUGCCUCAGCGCCCAAAACAGAGAAGACAGUGCUGCAUUAGCCAUUUUCAGUGGGUUCAACAUUGCGAAUGCAACAGCUGGCCCUGUUUGGAGCUCAAAUCUAAGACGAUCCAUACAUGCAUGGAUGAGGGCUCCAUCGUAAUCAUCGUAGGGCCAAGGGCAAAUCCAAGUAACACGAAAAAUACAUAGCAGUAAAAAUGUACCACCAAAUAAACCAAGAAAACAAAACUAUAUCAAGAUCUAUCAGAUCAAAUAGCCAAAGCAAAGGCAAGCAACAGAAAAAAGAUACUACAAACACAAUAAACAAAGUAACAGAACAAACCUGAUCUUGACAAGACGAAACAAGCAAAUUCAUAAAGCUGAAGAAGCCAAAUGGCAAUAAUGCAAUAUUUAUGCAUAAAAGACAGGAAUGCAAAAGAAGGAUUUCCAUCAAGCCAGUAUAUACAGAUCUGGAAGAUGAAACUGAAAAUAAAUAUAACAAACACAAGUUUACCGGUAAUUUGUGUUUUUUAGGCAACCUGGUGCAUGUAUCUCCCGCUUGCGCAGGGUCCAGGGAAGGGUCCGACCACUUUGGGUCUAUAGUACGCAGCCUUUCCCUACAUUUCUGUAAGAGGCUGUUUCCAGGACUUGAACCCAUGACCUCAUGGUCACAAGGCAGCAGCUUUACCACUGCGCCAAGGCUCCCCUUCUUUACCGGUAAUUUGUGUAAAAUGGCAAAAAUGAAGCCUGUGCCUUCAGUUGUUCAUAUACUCCCUCCGUUUCUAAAUAUAAGCCCUUUUAGAGAUUUCAAUGCGAACUACAUACUUUAGAGUGUAGAUUCACUCAUUUUGCUCCGUAUGUAGUCCAUAUUGGAAUCUCUAAAAGGGCCUAUAUUUAGGAAUGGAGGGAGUAUGUAGCAUUCACUGAUAGCACAAGGAAUGAUCUUAAAUUCAUCCGCAAUGUUAGAUCUGCUGUCAGCACACGCACACACACAUGCGUGCGUGCUCGGAGAGAGUACCACCAUCCAAAAUACCAAAACAAAACCAUCACGAAAUAGUCAAAAUAAAAAAUUUAGCACAAAGCCACCAGUUCACAAUUAGGACCAGCAAUGGCGUAAGAUGUAACAUGAGGUUAAACUGGUAAGAAAACAGAAAGAAAAGCAGCAAACAUAUAAAAGAUGUUUGGUCACUAAAUCUGUAGCAAAGCAUGUCAUAUUUGCUACAAAGGAGCCAACCUGCAUUCAAGAAUGGCAAAUGAUGACACGUGACACAAACUAUAGUAAAAGAAACGAAAUAAAAAAAAUGUACGAAAAUGAUCCUCAGAUAGACUAGUAACAUCUGUCAGAGCAUGGUCCUAUGCAUCAUAAUUCAUAUCUAACAUGUGAGGGAUGAGUUGGUGAUUCAGUGCCAUCAAUUAAUUAUCUAACCAAAAGAUUAGCCUAGAUCUUGGCGAAGACAGGCAGGCAGCGCAUGCAUGGCCGUAAGGAGUGUUCCAAACAUUGUGACAUGGCAUCCCAUUCCACCAUUUCACACUACCCGGCAGUAUAACACAAUGUGCAGAAGCCGUCUCUUUUACAGUGUGACCAUGCAAAAGAGUUCGGUUCAGAUGAAAAUACCAAGAAUUCUUUAUCACAACAUGGCCCUCAGAUUUCAGGUUCAUCGUCAUAGGCUAAUGCAGCGGGCUCCAAAGUCGGCACUGGGGCGUGUCUGGGCAAACCGAAAGAGGAGGCAAGGCCAUGGCAAAGGUGCGACGACGAGGAAGAGGAGGAGCAGGAAGCAGAGGUAGACCUCAACAAGGGCCGGCCCAUAGGUCAGUGGCAGAGCUUCAGCGGAAGCAACGGCUGACCCGGACACAUGCCUCGGCGCCCAGAACAGAGAAGCCAGCGCCGCAUUAGCCAUUUCAGCGGCUUCAACCUUGCAACGCAACGGCCGGUCCCUUUUCGAGCUCAGAUCUGAGCCCAUCUAUCUAUCUAUCUAUCCAUCCAUCCAUCCAUCCACAUCCCCGCACUGGGGAUUUCAACCUAAUCAUCAUCGGGCCAAGCCACGGAAAAAUUCAUGCAGCAAGCAAGAAGCAUACUACACUACACAUCACCAAACAAGCUAGGAAAGGAAAUCUACACCGAGAUCGACCGGAACAAAGCAUCAAACCAGCGGAGAGCCGACGGAAUCGAAAGGGGGAAUGGACGUAGGAGACGGGGCAAUGCGGCGGAGAACUUCCCACCGAAGCGAAGGGGCCGAUGCCGGCGGCGGCCGCGCAGAUCCGGAGCCCUGCCGGGCUCCUGGUCGCGGGCGGAGGGCGCGAGGGAUGGGGUUUCUCCGCCCAGCGACGCUGGCACCAAA
rnacentral:lncRNA from 1 species